rnacentral:rRNA from 1 species
UACGUAGGGGGCAAGCGUUGUCCGGAUUUAUUGGGCGUAAAGAGCGUGUAGGCGGCCAGGUAGGUCUGCUGUGAAAACUCGAGGCUUAACCUCGAGAUGUCGGCGGAAACCAUCUGGCUAGAGUCCGGAAGAGGAGAGUGGAAUUCCUGGUGUAGCGGUGAAAUGCGCAGAUAUCAGGAAGAACACCCGUGGCGAGGGCGGCUCUCUGGGACGGUACUGACGCUGAGACGCGAAAGCGUGGGGAGCGAACAGG